UAGAAGAGUCAUCUGUUACUCACACAGCACUGUCACAAAAGUACAAACUCAAGAAGUAAAAAGGCAGGUGACUAGGAAGACAACAGAAGUGACUCGUGAAGAAGAACAAGGUGUGUUCAUAGAACGAGUAGACUCAUAACAUUGAUAACUCUAAUGACUCUUAAUAAAUACUCUUUAAGAUUAAGCUAAAGUGUUUUGUUUUGAAGUGAAAUAUUAAAAUUAACAAAAGCUGUACAUUUGCAAUGUUGAAGUGGACAAGCUGUAUUCAUACAUUUUAACUUUAUUGAUUAUUUUUGUUUAGUUGUUGAGUUUUUAAAUUUUAAGUGUAAAGACGAUUUAUUUCCAAAAGAAAAUGGAGUGUUCCAGUGAAUCAUAGAGUUUAUUUUUCAGUUUAUUUUUGUGUAGUUGUUUUUUUCAACAACUUUGUCAUUCAAUAAAUAUAUUUUUGUUGACAUUUUUUCAGUAUUAAAGGGCUUUAAGGCAA